GUUUCUAUGGUCUAGUUGGUCAUGACAUUCGCCUAACACGCGAAAGGUCCCCGGUUCGAACCCGGGUGGAAACA
rfam:Coccomyxa subellipsoidea C-169, whole genome shotgun sequence.